CCUUUCCAAAUUUCAUCAAAUUCGGCCAAACUCGAACCCAACGAUCCCGACGUCCAUUUUGUUCAAACGAGGCACUCUGAGCCUCCUCGUGACCUCCUUAAGCUCACUGUGAGCUUUGUUUAACCUAAAACACGGCCAUAUUAAAGUUUGUGAACAGUGCUUAAUCACGGGGUGUUUUGAAACUAGGAUUUCAGAAAUGAAACUUACUCGAAAAUGGUAUCCCCGUGUUCGUGAAGUCAUCAGGAGUGUCGUGGUGAUCUUCACUUGGACGUUCGUGAAUGUUUUAGGUAAGUUUGUGUGUGAGCUUGUGAGUUCGAGAGUAAGAGAGAGAAUGAGAGAGUCUGAAAUGAAGAAAGAGAGAGAGAGUGUGUGACUGAGAAGGAUAAGAGCUGAGGAAGAGACAACCUACGGGUUUUGGGGAAGGAAUUCGGGAGGUAGGACCCUACCUAAAGUCCAAAUACAAAAUAACACAUACAAUUAUAAAUCUAACCCUAGUUUAGGAUCUUAAAGUAAAACAAACACCAAAAUUACGCACCUUAAUCCCGUUUAAGGGCGUUUUUGUAAUUUCACGUCCUCGGUAUUUAGUAAUUCUGGGACGGGCUGUGACAAUCUCCCCUCCUUAUAGAAUUUCGUCCCCGAAAUUCCAGUCAUCAACCAGAACAUCAAAACUCAUAGAAUAGCCUCGGAUACAUAUCCUGCAUCCGUUCUUCUGUCUCCCAUGUAGCUUCUUCCGCUGUAUGGUUUCUCCACAAUACUUUUACCAAGCUCACGGUCUUAUUCCUUAGAGUCUUAUCUUUCCAAUCCAGUAUAGUCACUGGUUCUUCAUCAUACGUCAAAUCCGGAUUAAUUUCCAAAAGUUGAGGAGGAAUCACAUGUGAAGGAUCUGAAACAUAAUGCCGAAGCAUCGAGACAUGAAACACAUUAUGUACCUUAGACAACUCUGGAGGCCAUUCAAUUCUAUAAUCAACUUCACCAACCUUUCGAUGAUCACGCUAAGUCCGAUUCAUUUAGGAUUUAACUUGCCUUCCUUUCCAACCCGAAUUAUACUUUUCUAUGGUGAACACUUCGAAAAUAUAAAACCAUUUACCUUAUAUACUCGAUUAGUGGCAUAUCUAUCUGUUGAUCUCUUUUGCCAUUCCUGGUUACUUCAGGUUAACUUAAUCACCUGAAUACUUUGAGGAGACUCAUCCAUAGUCUCAAGGUCUACUAAAACUCUUUCUUGAUUGAAUCUUUCUCUAUUCAGAAGCAUUUCAUUCACACGACACGCUUCAGGGACCCUAUGGCGUUAUUUCGGAAACUGCGCACCCAACAUACUUAAGAAACUCAGCAGUUCCGUAAUCCAAUUCUCUUUCCAUAAAACAAAUAAGUACCGUUGUCCUGACUGGGAAAAAGUUAUUACUCAACACUGGAGUAAAUAUACUAACUUGUUACGUUGCCCAACCAUCACUUCACAUCCGAUCGUAACCAUCUUGUAUACAAGGAAACUUGUACACAUAGUCCAAAGUAAUAUCUUUCCAUUUCCGUUUCGAAACAGAAAAUAGUUAUCUCAAUCCAAAGGUUUAUUUCUUUCUGCCUCAAUCUGCUGACCAAUAAAAAUGUCGAAUGGUAUGAUAAACCUUAUUACUUUCGGAAUAUUGCAGAAGUUAAACAAUGUACUUCGUCCAAAAUUGCUUACUUUAAACCCACAGCAUUAGGCACAUACUUUUCGUUUGCUUGUAUUCACAUACCAUCCGAUUCAAGAAUCAUGUACUCAUUCUUUUUCCUUUCUUUCUCUGCCUUGGUUAAUUCUUAAAUUUCUUCGUUAACCAUUUGAGUCUCGAGUACGACCUUACCAAAAGGCCUAACUUGAAACUUAGCAAGUAUAACUUCUUCUCGAUCUUUCAUUCUUAACUUUACUUUAGUUGGUUUCCAAUCCACAAGAAGAUAAUCUUGGCAAGCGUACCAAGCAUUAAUUCUUGCUGGAGUCUUCUCAUCAAGUGCUUCCGCUACAACAAUUCACGAUCACCCUGAUCGUACAAUCAUAAUCACUAAGUAAUUCAAUCCACCUUUGUUGCCUCAUAACAAAAUCCUUCCGAGUAAACAAAUAUUGGAGACUCUUUUGAUUUGUAAAAUCUUGCAUUCUUAUCAACAUAUAAUGUCUCCAUAACUUCACAGCAAGGAUGAUAAUCGUGACUUCCAAAUCACCAGUAGGGUAAUUCAUCUCAUGAGGUUCCAUUUGUCGUGAAACAUAUACAAUCACCCUAACAUUUGCAUCAACAUGCCUCCAAUACCAUUCAAGAAACAGCACUAAAAAUUUAUGAUUACCACUAUCUUCUAGGAUUACUAAAAUACGUGUAUGAGUGAGGAAAUACUUUAGUUGUUGAAUUCCUUACUCACAAUUUCCUUCCCACUCAUACAUAACUCUUUUUCUCAACAGUCUCGUCAAUGACAAAGCAAUGACUGAAAAAUCUUUCACAACCAUCCAAGAUAGCCUGGUAAGUUAAGAAAUUCCAAAUCUCAAUUACGACUCGUGGUUGUUCCAAAUUCUCAAUUCUGCUGCCUUUUAAGAAUUCAUUUGAAUACCUUAAGUAGAUAUAACCAAUCUCAGAAUGCCACUUGAUUCAUCUAACUUUAGCAUUUGCUACUUAGCAUACAACCGACGUUCCCUCAAACUUUGUAACAUCAACUUAAAAUAUCUAACAUGCUCUGCUCUAGGCUUAGAGUAUACCAGAAUAUCUUCAAUGAAAAUGAUAUCUAUUUAUCAAGGCAUUAUUGGAAUACUUCAUCCAAUAACUCAUAAAACAGCAUGAGUAUCCAUAUAGCAUCACCAAACUUCAUAAGGACCAUAACAAGUCCAGAAAACCAUCUUAUGAUCAACGUCACUUAUAAUAUUCAAUUGGUAUUAACCAGAUCUCAAGUCAAUCUUUGAAAAUAUACAAGCACCUUUGAACUGAUCAAAUGAGCGUCAAUACACCACAAGGGAUAACGGUUCUCAAUCGUUACCCGACUCCAUUGUCUAUAAUCAAUGGAUAGCCUUAAAAAUCCAUUUUCUUCCUCACCAACGAACUGGGCUCCUCAAAAGUGUUGUACUAGGUUGAAUAAAACUUUUAUCAACCAAUUCUUUCAACUGAAUUUCCAAUUCCCUUAACUCAUCAUGAACCAAUCUUUAACAUAAAUUUAUACCUGGCAACAAUUCAAUAAUGAACCUCAUAUCUCUGCCUGAAGACAAUCCAGAUAUACUUUCAGGGAAGACAUCAAGAAAAGUCUAACCCUUUCGACAUUAUUCACACUACUCCAAACAAUAUCAUUUAGCACCACAUGAGCUAAGUAUUUUUGGGCAGCCUUUCAAAACAAUCUCUUUGCUUUCACAGCAUAAAUAAUGGCUGAACUCACUUCACUUUGCAUGCCCACUCAUUAAGGUAACCUCUGAUCAUCCAGAUCGAUGGAAAAUGACUGGUUUCCCGUAACAAUCCAUCUAGUCACAAUUAUAACCAACUAAUCUAAUGGAAAUAAUUUAACCGACACAAUUCAUACUCUAUUACUACUAAGCAUUCUGAAUAAGUACAAUACUAACAUAAAAUAAUCUACCGGGUUGCUUGCUUAACGAAUCCACGAAUGAGUUAUUAAUAUUACGGUCUGCAGCCCGCAAUACUGAUAAAUCAUCGUUGUCUCGAUAAGUAGGCAACCACUCUCAAAGAUAUAACAUUACUAUUUUGUCACUCAAUGCAAAAUACAUACACUCGUCUCAACUACAUUUAUUUACUACUCUCUAGGUAAUAACAUACAUAAUAAGAAAUAUAUCAGCCGAAGUCAACUAGAAUGACCAAUACGGCUGAUUCAACUCUUAUCUCAAUAAUACGUCGGCCGGAUCCACUCUGCGUGGUCGGUACGGUCGAGUAUAUAACUCACCAAUUUCUCAUGUGUCAGUCGAAUCCACUUCUCAUGGUCUAUACGGCUGAACAUAUAACUCACCAAAUCUCUCUGUACUCACGGUCAAUCCGACCAAACUACUAAGUUCAUAAACUUGCUGAAUCGACACUAUGAUGCCAUGGAAACUGUUGGGUACAACUGAUUCUAGGGACGAUUCACAAUUCUGUGUCCCCUCUGUUCACAUAAACACAUUUAUUAAUUUCACACUUCCCAAAGUGUUAAUUUUGUACCUGCUGCACAAAGUACAUUUCCUUUACUCGAGACACCUUGUCUCAAAUAUCUGGGAUUACCAGUAUAUCCAUCACUUUUACUCUGACCAGCUACAUUAAAACCUCAGCUGGAAGAAUUAACUCUAGCUUCACUUCUUUCGAAGCUCUGAAUCUUUCUAUAUCCUUGAUAUGACGAAUCAUUAACUUUAUCGUCUUCUUUUAAUUCCCAUUCAUUUCUUAUUCCUCUUUACUCUCGUUGAUCAUGUUCUCAGAGUCCUCAAGGCUCAACAACAUCUCGUAUACUCCUGGUAAUAAAUACAAUGGAUAGUGGUCACUCAAAGAACGCCGCUUUUUCUUACUAUCCAGCAUAAACAACAUAACACCUCAACCAAAUUAACAGUAAUAUCUGGAUGGAACGAGGCAAGUCUGAAAACUUUCUAUAAUAUCCCUCGAUCAUCACCUUCAUUGUCUCAUAUUUGUAAACUCUUGUUUACUACCAUCGAUAAAUGCCGGAGGGAUAAACUUUUCCUUAAACAAGUCCUUAAACAAUUUUAAAUCGGCUGAUUCCUCUGGUGACAACAACUAACAAUCCUGUUUCCACCAGGAUACAAAUUCAUACCCAAAACCAGGUAGUCGUCUCGACCCCUUGUCAGAAGGAAGAUUCCUUUGACUUGCAUAAUCUGAAACAUCUUUUCCAAAUGGUUAAACCGUUACUUCGUUCCCUCAGGUUCAUCAUUUCAUAAGGUGAUUCAAAUUCGACUUAUAACCCGUCUUAAAAUGUCCAUUUUGAUAAUAUACUGAAUCACCAUAAUAAUAGUUUCCCCCAAACCGCUAAAUCAGGGAGACUAAAUUCCUCUAACUACGUGGUUUGCUACGAGGCGGUGUAGUUCUGACAGAAUUCACUAGAAACUUCUCAAGAUGUCCAAGAUUGCAACCAUGCUCUGAUACCAACUGACACACCCCGUCCCGAAGGAGGGCAUGCUGGCCGUCACGUGAGAGUGACGUAACCAUUUGCACAGUACGGAAGCUUUAAUUAUACAAUUUAUAAGUUGAUACACCCGAAGGUGAGUCCUAAUUUUGUCUAAUCUGUCAGAACACCGUCGAAUUCCUCGUAGUCACCACACCUUUGUGAUUCCUGAACCUGGAGGGGCGCAAAACCAAAAUUGAGUGGGUGAGUAAAACAAUUCUUUUCCAAAUCCAAACAUUUCUCAAAACGUUGUAACCCCUCUCCGUAAAACCUGUAUACUUUCCCAGAAAUGUAAAAUAUAAAUAUACAUAUAUAUUCUCAACAUUUUUCUUUAUCAAUCAUGCCAUGCCAUGUCUAAUUCAACAGUUAAGUAUGGAUGCAUCAACAAUAAUCAUAUCAGGUGCAAGAAAGUAAUCAACCGGAGGCCCUAUAAUAGUCCUGUACGGUUGAAUCUAGAGCUCAAAAUCUAUCACUAUCACUCUGCCGGAGUCACCUCUGUGACCUAUCCGGCCUUCUGCACACAAGUUACGCUCUAGUGCUUCUCUCAUCAAUCAUCUGUGCACAUAAUCUAAGGUCACCCACCAAUCGAAAUCUCACUAACACUCUUCGACUGGCCCGUCGCACCCACUCCGCGUGGACUGUGCGACCAGCAUCUACUUGGAUCCAAGGCGAGCGUGCGAUGCGGUGAAUACUAUAAGCACUAAACCAUGGUGCAGGAUUUGAGCUCAAUAUAUAUCAUCAUCAUCAUAACAGUAAUUAAAUACUCACCUGAUACUCACCUGUGCGUCCGCCGCACCAAUUCAUACAUAUGCAUCAUAUCUCAAUUCAUGCUUUUCAUAUCAUUUCAUGCAUGGCAAUUCGAUUUACAUUUCCAUAUAUAUUUCAUAUACUUCUAUGCAUGACCUUUCAAUUCACGUUUUCAUAUAAUUCUAUAUACCUUUCGUUUAAAACAUAAUUUCAUUCUAAUUCAAUUUCUGGGAAAACGUCAAGUAUAUAUAUAUACGGAAAACAAAACUGCCCACUCACAGAUUACAUCGACGUCUCGUAAGUCCCUGAGCAUCCCUUGGCCAUGCCCGAUGCCCGCAUAAACCUCACCUAUACAAAAGUAACCAUUUUGACGUUAUUUAACGCCUAACCCAAAUCUUAGUUAAUAACUCCUCAUAUUUUGCUCAAAUUGGGUAUAUGAAUAUACCACCGUGACCUACACAACCUCAGGAUCAUCCCCAUAUUUUUAAAAUAAUUUUUCGAGGUCUCACGCGCCCCCACGUGCCUGACGUGGCACGGACCUACGCGCCCCCCACGCGCGGCCACGUGACAUGCACACUGACGGCUACAGUGAACGGCGUUAGGGAAUAUUUCGUCAAAUCUUAGUAUAUUCCGUUAAAAACUAACGGUUUCCGUUAAAACUGACUAACGGCGUCAGAAUAUUCCGUCAAACUUGACGGAAUAUUCCGUCACCUUCAACCUUUAGCUCCGGCGACCGUCGCCGGCGCCGGAAACUGGGUAAAUUUUCAAAACCACUAAUUUCAAUCGUUUUUGGUCCAUUUUCUUCGAAUUUUACACCAAAAUGAAGCAUUUAACACCUACUAUCACGUUGGAAGGUUUUUAAGGUCCAAAAACAACAAGAUCAUACCUUUCCAAAUUUCAUCAAAUUCGGCCAAACUCGAACCCAACGAUCCCGACGUCCAUUUUGUUCAAACGAGGCACUCCGAGCCUCCUCGUGACCUCCUUAAGCUCACUGUGAGCUUUGUUUAACCUAAAACACGGCCAUAUUAAAGUGUGUGAACAGUGCUUAAUCACGGGGUGUUUUGAAACUAGGAUUUCAGAAAUGAAACUUACUCGAAAAUGGUAUCCCCAUGUUCGUGAAGUCAUCAGGAGUGUCGUGGUGAUCUCCACUUGGACGUUCGUGAAUGUUUUAGGUAAGUUUGUGUGUGAGCUUAUGAGUUCGAGAGUAAGAGAGAGAAUGAGAGAGUCUGAAAUGAAGAAAGAGAGAGAGAGUGUGUGACUGAGAAGGAUAAGAGCUGAGGAAGAGACAACCUACGGGUUUUGGGGAA
rnacentral:lncRNA from 1 species